rnacentral:rRNA from 1 species
CCUGUGAGGGUUGCUGGAGGUAUCAGAAGUGCGAAUGCUGACAUAAGUAACGAUAAAGCGGGUGAAAAGCCCGCUCGCCGGAAGACCAAGGGUUCCUGUCCAACGUUAAUCGGGGCAGGGUGAGUCGACCCCUAAGGCGAGGCCGAAAGGCGUAGUCGAUGGGAAACGGGUUAAUAUUCCCGUACUUGGUGUUACUGCGAAGGGGGGACGGAGAAGGCUAUGUUGGCCGGGCGACGGUUGUCCCGGUUUAAGCGUGUAGGUGUGUGUUCCAGGUAAAUCCGGUUCACUUUAACACUGAGGCGUGACGACGAGGCACUACGGUGCUGAAGCAACAAAUGCCCUGCUUCCAGGAAAAGCCUCUAAGCAUCAGGUAACAUCAAAUCGUACCCCAAACCGACACAGGUGGUCAGGUAGAGAAUACCAAGGCGCUUGAGAGAACUCGGGUGAAGGAACUAGGCAAAAUGGUGCCGUAACUUCGGGAGAAGGCACGCUGACACGUAGGUGAAGUGAUUUACUCAUGGAGCUGAAGUCAGUCGAAGAUACCAGCUGGCUGCAACUGUUUAUUAAAAACACAGCACUGUGCAAACACGAAAGUGGACGUAUACGGUGUGACGCCUGCCCGGUGCCGGAAGGUUAAUUGAUGGGGUCAGCGCAAGCGAAGCUCCUGAUCGAAGCCCCGGUAAACGGCGGCCGUAACUAUAACGGUCCUAAGGUAGCGAAAUUCCUUGUCGGGUAAGUUCCGACCUGCACGAAUGGCGUAAUGAUGGCCAGGCUGUCUCCACCCGAGACUCAGUGAAAUUGAACUCGCUGUGAAGAUGCAGUGUACCCGCGGCAAGACGGAAAGACCCCGUGAACCUUUACUAUAGCUUGACACUGAACAUUGAGCCUUGAUGUGUAGGAUAGGUGGGAGGCUUUGAAGUGUGGACGCCAGUCUGCAUGGAGCCGACCUUGAAAUACCACCCUUUAAUGUUUGAUGUUCUAACGUGGACCCGUAAUCCGGGUUGCGGACAGUGUCUGGUGGGUAGUUUGACUGGGGCGGUCUCCUCCUAAAGAGUAACGGAGGAGCACGAAGGUUGGCUAAUCCUGGUCGGACAUCAGGAGGUUAGUGCAAUGGCAUAAGCCAGCUUGACUGCGAGCGUGACGGCGCGAGCAGGUGCGAAAGCAGGUCAUAGUGAUCCGGUGGUUCUGAAUGGAAGGGCCAUCGCUCAACGGAUAAAAGGUACUCCGGGGAUAACAGGCUGAUACCGCCCAAGAGUUCAUAUCGACGGCGGUGUUUGGCACCUCGAUGUCGGCUCAUCACAUCCUGGGGCUGAAGUAGGUCCCAAGGGUAUGGCUGUUCGCCAUUUAAAGUGGUACGCGAGCUGGGUUUAGAACGUCGUGAGACAGUUCGGUCCCUAUCUGCCGUGGGCGCUGGAGAACUGAGGGGGGCUGCUCCUAGUACGAGAGGACCGGAGUGGACGCAUCACUGGUGUUCGGGUUGUCAUGCCAAUGGCACUGCCCGGUAGCUAAAUGCGGAAGAGAUAAGUGCUGAAAGCAUCUAAGCACGAAACUUGCCCCGAGAUGAGUUCUCCCUGAGACUU